GAGAAAGUGAAAACCCCGACCUGCUUUUCAUGUUAGAGAAGGUGCAGUCGCAUUAUAGGACGUUGAAAGAUGGUGCGAUCUACGAGAGAGACUCAGAGAAACUGUCCUUACAAGGCUUUUGUCGGGAAAGAAAGAUUUUUUUUUGCGUGUUCAGCAAAAUAAAGAAAAUGUUGGCGUUUUUGCACUUGUAUAUAGUUAAUCGCGUUUGUAGCCUACACUCAGAUAUGAACUAAUUCUUGCAUGCGGGUGUAUUCAUUCAUAAAAAAAAUGUAACUAAACUUCUAAAGAGGUCUAGACUCCGUGCGCAGCCCCGCCUCCUCCAGUGAACCAAAAAAGCACAUGCCGUGACGAACGGGGGAUUUUUGAUCAAAAACUCAACUUCCCUAUCGCACCAACGUGAACCCACUCGUGAACCGCUUGCCGGCAUGUUUAUUGUUCAAUGGGAAAGAAGGGUCACAUGUGCCGUGUUCCAAUACCCGUACUGUCCGCACUUACUAGCCAAAAUUUGAGUACACAGUACGUUCCAAUUCAGAUCCGGCGAAAAGAAGUAUACUUCAAGGACCCGGAUGCCGUACUCAAAACGGGCUAAUCGUGAAGUGUGGAUCGAAGGACACUCCCCGUACUCAACGACAGCCAUCUUAGCUACGUAGCGGAAGAGGCGGAGCCAGGCUGAGCCAAAGUCGGCGCGUUUUCCACAUAGCCUGCAUUAAUAGAGUCAUUUUGUAGUUUUUAUAGCUUUUUAUUGCUGCUAGGCGUAAAGAGUUCACCGUUCAAAGCGGGAUGUUUAUUGCGGGGGAGGAGCCGCGGCGGCAGUCGUGAUCGUCAUUUCCGGUAAGUGCACCACAGAGUACUCGAUUUGGAACAGCACUCACAUCUAAAAAAUGAGCGUACUCAAGUGAGUACGGUUAGUGCAGGUAGUGUACUUCCUUUAAGUAUACUCAUGGAAGUACGGGUAUUGGAACACGGCAAUGGAGUAAAACGUCAUCCAGCUCAGGUUGCGUAGCCGUGCGUUUGCG
ensembl:lncRNA